AUUAAGCACAACGAUGGGUGUGGUGUGUCAUAUCCCCCCACCUUAGAAAAAUUUAGUCCCCAAAUUUAUCUCGAACAAGUCCAGAUACUUCUCCCUUAUCUCGCUUUCCAACUCCCACGUUGUUUCUUCCAGGGUAUGAUGUUGCCAUUGUACCUUCACCAUGGGAAUUAUCGUGUUGCUCAAGGCCUUGUCGGUCCACCUAAGAAUCUCCACGGGGAUUUCCUCAUACGUCAU
rnacentral:lncRNA from 1 species